rnacentral:rRNA from 1 species
GACGAACGCUGGCGGCGUGCUUAACACAUGCAAGUCGAACGGAAAGGCCCUGCUUUUGUGGGUGCCUGAGUGGCGAACGGGGGAGUAACACGUGAGUAACCUGCCCCUGAACUUGGGAUAACCUUAGGAAACUGGGGCCAAUACCGGAUAAGAGCCCCCGCUGCAAGGUUGGGGUUGGGAAGUUUUCGCGGUUGGGGAUGGACUCGCGGCUUAUCAGCUUGUUGGUGGGGUAGUGGCUUACCAAGGGUUUGACGGGUAGCCGGCCUGAGAGGGUGACCGGCCACAUUGGGACUGAGAUACGGCCCAGACUCCUACGGGAGGCAGCAGUGGGGAAUAUUGCACAAUGGGCGGAAGCCUGAUGCAGCAACGCCGCGUGCGGGAUGACGGCCUUCGGGCUGUAAACCGCUUUCGCCUGUGACGAAGCGUGAGUGACGGUAAUGGGUAAAGAAGCACCGGCUAACUACGUG